rnacentral:lncRNA from 1 species
GAGGGUCAGUGGUCACUCAGGGUUUAGGAGGUCAUUCAGGAAUUGGGGCACAUUUAGGGUCACUCAGGGGUCACUGUGGUCACUCAGGGGUCACUGCAGUCACUCUAUGGUCACUGUGGUGGGUCAGUGGUCACUGUGGUCACUCAGGGGUCACUCAGUGUUCACUGUGGUCACUGGUCACUCGGGGAUCACUGCAGUCAAUGGUCACUGUGGUCACUGAGUGGUCACUCUAAUAUCACUCAGUGGUCAUUCAGGGGUCACUCUAUGGUCACCGAGUGGUCACUCAGUGGUUACUCGGGUCAGUCAAUUGUCAAUGGUCACUCUAUGGUCACUAUGGUCACUCUAUGGUCACUCAGGGGUCAUUCAGUGGUCACUUGGUUGUCACUGCAGUCACUCAGUGGUCACUCAGUGGUCACUCAAUGGUCACUCAGUGGUCACUGUGGUCACUCAGGGCUCAGUGAGGGUCACUCAGGGGUCACUUUAAGGUCACUAUGGGGGUCACUAUGGGAUGGUUUGCGGUCAGUGUGGGGUUGGUCCCUAUGGGUCAGUCAUUGGUCAGUGGUCACUGUGGUCACUCCAUGGUCACGGUGGUGGGUCAAUGGUCACUGUGGUCACUCAGUGGUCAGUGAGGGUCACUCAGGGGUCACUCACGGGUCACUGGGGGCUCUUCAUGGGGUCAAUCAUGGAUGGGUUGUUACAGGGUCAGUCCUUAUGGGUCAGUGGUCACUCUAUGGUCACUCUAUGGUCACUCAGGGGUCACUGCAGUCACUCAGGGGUCACUCAGUGGUCAGUGAGGGUCACUCAGGGGUCACUCUAAGGGUCAUUGAGGGUUUCUUACGGGGUCAGUCAUGGAUGGCUUGUUAUGGGGUCAGUCCCUAUGGGUCAGUCACUGGUCAGUGGUCACUCUAUGGGUCAGUGGUCACUCAGUGGUCACUGUGGUCACUCUAUGGUCACUGUGGUCACUCAGUGGUCACUGUGGUCACUCAGUGGUCACUCACCGUGCCUCAGCUCCCUCAGCAGCACCUCCUGAAGGGUCAGCAGGAACCCGUAAUGGUCCUGCAUGUCCUGGGACGGGUCAGUCCCUACGGGUCAGUGGUCACUCUAUGGUCACUGUGGUCACUCUAUGGUCACUCAGCGGUCACUCAGCGGUCACUCACCGUGUCUCAGCUCCCUCAGCAGCACCUCCUGCAGGGUCAAUAGGAACCCAUAGUGGUCCUGCAUGUCCUGGGACGGGUCAGUCCCUAUGGGUCAGUGGUCACUCUAUGGGUCAGUGGUCACUCAGUGGUCACUCUAUGGUCACUCACCAUGUCUCAGCUCCCUCAGCAGAACCUCCUGGAGGGUCAAUAGGAACCCAUAAUGGUCCUGCAUGUCCUGGGACGGGUCAGUGCCUACGGGUCAGUGCUCACUCUAU